GCUGGCCUGUGAUGACUCUUCUAUUUGGAGACUGCUGGAUGACUCCUGCGGAUAUGGGACUGAGGCAGCA